GCCUGGGAAACUGGGUCUAAUACUGGAUAGGACCUUCUCCUCAUGGGGUUUGGUGGAAAGUUUUUCGGUGCAGGAUGAGCCCGCGGCCUAUCAGCUUGUUGGUGGGGGUAAUGGCCUACCAAGGCGACGACGGGUAGCCGGCCUGAGAGGGUGAUCGGCCACAUUGGGACUGAGAUACGGCCCAGACUCCUACGGGAGGCAGCAGCG
rnacentral:rRNA from 1 species